GGGGAAUAUUGGACAAUGGACCACAAGUCUGAUCCAGCAAUUCUGUGUGCACGAUGACGUUUUUCGGAAUGUAAAGUGCUUUCAGUCGGGAAGAAGUCAGUGACGGUACCGACAGAAGAAGCGACGGCUAAAUACGUGCCAGCAGCCGCGGUAAUACGUAUGUCGCAAGCGUUAUCCGGAUUUAUUGGGCGUAAAGCGCGCCUAGGCGGCAAGGAAAGUCUGAUGUGAAAAUGCGGAGCUCAACUCCGUAUGGCGUUGGAAACUGCCUUACUAGAGUACUGGAGAGGUAGGCGGAACUACAAGUGUAGAGGUGAAAUUCGUAGAUAUUUGUAGGAAUGCCGAUGGGGAAGCCAGCCUACUGGACAGAUACUGACGCUAAAGCGCGAAAGCGUGGGUAGCAAACAGGAUUAGAUACCCUGGUAGUCCACGCUGUAAACGAUGAUUACUAGGUGUUGGGGGUCAAACCUCAGCGCCCAAGCUAACGCGAUAAGUAAUCCGCCUGGGGAGUACGUACGCAAGUAUG
rnacentral:rRNA from 1 species